AUUUCAUUCUCUAGGGUUAAGGACUAAACUAACAUAUAUUUCUUUAGAAAGGUUUCAUUAAAUAUUUUUUUUAAUUCUCUGCCAAAAAAAUAAAAAAACAAAUCUUCUUUGGCAAUAUUUUUUUAGAUGAUAAUUACUUUUCUCUUACUGCCACUUGGUACUAAAUACUGCUUUUUCAGAUCAGCAACUCCCAUUAGAUUCCUUUUGCAUGAGUCCUAUAGCUAAAGCAAGCUCCUGGGUUAUCCAGAGUGGAAAAGGAAACUGAUGUUCCAUUUGAGUGGACAGAGAUCACAGCAGGAACCAUGCCAUUAUACACUGAAAUUUAUAACUGAAGUUCUGCCUCUCUCCUUUUAUCCUAAGAAUGAUGACCUAUACAACCUCAGCAUAUCCUUCUUGUAACUCAUGGGUAUCAAGACUAUAAAUGUUUCAUGUAUCACAACUAGGACCUCACAUCCUCUUCCUCCUCCUCCUCUGUAGAUGGGUACGAUGCAUCCAGUUCAGUUUGUUUACUUUACACAAACCUCAGGAGUUCGUUGACUGAACUGCACAUUCUUUGUUGUGCCAUGCAAAAGCACUGUGACACCUGGACAAUGAGUCUUUUACUUCAUCCUCUGCUAUACAGACUUAGCUGGCCACAAUGAACUGAUGUGCCCACCACUGUGUCAUGGUAUUUUCAAUAUCUUCACCUCCAAAAUCCCACUGGGACAAGAAAUAGAGAUGCCAGAAUAUCACAAGGAAUAUUGCAGAGUAAUCUUGCUCCAAUUGGACAUGGGAGCUACAGGCAAGCACAGAAAUAAUCAGCCCAGCUUUGGUGCCUUUUGCAAUGUAAGUUGCUUUCCCUGUUGGUUGGCUGUGCCUGUUUCAGGGUAA
rnacentral:lncRNA from 1 species